UACGAAGGGUGCAAGCGUUAAUCGGAAUUACUGGGCGUAAAGGGUGCGUAGGCGGUUGUUUAAGUCUGUCGUGAAAUCCCCGGGCUCAACCUGGGAAUGGCGAUGGAUACUGGCUCGCUAGAGUGCGGUAGAGGAGAGUGGAAUUCCCGGUGUAGCAGUGAAAUGCGUAGAGAUCGGGAGGAACAUCAGUGGCGAAGGCGGCCAUCUGGGACAACACUGACGCUGAAGCACGAAAGCGUGGGGAGCAAACAGG
rnacentral:rRNA from 1 species